AUAAGUGAGUGAUCCAGAGGACACGGCAUCUCGAAACCAGUAUCCACGGCACGUCCUGACUCCGGAAACAAAGGUGUCUUGCCGCUCAGCCUCUUUGGAGUGUUCAUCUAGACCUCUGCUCAAGAUGGCUGUCUACUGAGUACUUGAAGAAGGUGACCCUGUUCCUGCUAAUCCUUCUCACCAUGAGUUCCAGGCCAUUCCAGGCUACAUCACCGCAGUCCUGCAUGACAAGGAGAGCAUCUAACGACAUCAACCUUCACUUCCCC